CCUGCUCCUAGAGGAUUUGCAGGUGUGGUUGCUGUGUCUCAUAUCAGUAGGUGGCAGAGAGGAGAGAGGUUAAAUCUAUGCUCUAUGAACUUCUGAAUGGUUAGUAGCCUAAAAUU
rnacentral:snoRNA from 1 species